rnacentral:rRNA from 1 species
GCACAAUGGGCGCAAGCCUGAUGCAGCCAUGCCGCGUGUAUGAAGAAGGCCUUCGGGUUGUAAAGUACUUUCAGCAGUGAGGAAGGCAGGUACGUUAAUAGCGUGCUUGUUUGACGUUAGCUGCAGAAGAAGCACCGGCUAACUCCGUGCCAGCAGCCGCGGUAAUACGGAGGGUGCGAGCGUUAAUCGGAAUUACUGGGCGUAAAGCGCAUGCAGGUGGUUUGUUAAGUCAGAUGUGAAAGCCCGGGGCUCAACCUCGGAAUUGCAUUUGAAACUGGCAGACUAGAGUACUGUAGAGGGGGUAGAAUUUCAGGUGUAGCGGUGAAAUGCGUAGAGAUCUGAAGGAAUACCGGUGGCGAAGGCGGCCCCCUGGACAGAUACUGACACUCAGAUGCGAAAGCGUGGGGAGCAAACAGGAUUAGAUACCCUGGUAG